GACGAACGCUGGCGGCGUGCUUAACACAUGCAAGUCGAACGGAAAGGCACUGCUUGCUGGGUACUCGAGUGGCGAACGGGCGAGUAACUCGUGGGUGAUCUGCCCUGUACUUCGGGAUAAGCCUGGGAAACUGGGUACAAUACCGGAUAGGAGCCACUACCAGCGUGAUGGAUGGAAAGUUUUUUCGGUGUUGGGUGAGCUGGCGGCCUAACAGCUUGUUGGUGGGGUAAUGGGCUACCAAGGCGGCGACGGGUAGCCGGACAGAGAGGGUGGGAGGCCACAUUGAGACUUACGGACGGCACAGGCGCCGACUAGAGGAAACAGGGGGGAAUAUUGAUCAAUGGACGCAAGCCGGAUGCAGCGAGGCCGCGGGUUGGAUGACGGUCUUCGUGUUGUAGACACGUUUCGCGAUAGACGAAGCUUGUUGUGACGGUACCUAAAGAAGAAGCACCGGCUAACUACGUG
rnacentral:rRNA from 1 species